CCACAGCGCUCUGUCCGCAGAGCCUCUGCAGCUCAGGGACAAAGCCCAAGCAGAGGGCGCAGCACCAGAGAGCAGAGCCUCCAUCCCCUUGGCCCUGGACAAGGCUGAGCAGCAGGAGCCAGCCCCCCCCCCCCAGUUCACCAGGGGUGGGGAAAGGCAGGAGGGUCCGUGGGAGAGCUGAAGGAAAGGGAAGUGGAAGGUCCCAGAGACAAUGACCCAGGACUGCGGACUGUCAGCUGAAGCUAGGGCCUCUCUUCUCCAGGCUGCUACUGUACCCAACAUUGAUUUGUGAAGGAGGCAACUGAUAGUAAUGGCAGGAAUCCUCCCACACUGGGGUCACCGGUUCCAGGAUCAACAGAAGAACAAUGUGUCGAUUCCGUUCCGGCUGAUUCAGAAGAAGACUUAAAGGGGUCACCAUGCUUCCCAAUUUGCUGCCUUUUUCUCUAGUCAGCUUCUCAAAGGACUUGAGAGAGUUUGGAAUAAAUAUUCCCCUACUUGACAUGAAACAGUUUUUACUACUUUCCAUUUCCCUGUGUUCUAGACAUUCCUAUAAUAAAAGCUAAAACUUGGUGCUU